rnacentral:rRNA from 1 species
AGAGUUUGAUCAUGGCUCAGGAUGAACGCUAGCUACAGGCUUAACACAUGCAAGUCGAGGGGCAGCAUGUUGGUUGCUUGCAACCAACGAUGGCGACCGGCGCACGGGUGAGUAACGCGUAUCCAACCCACCCUUGUCCAUCGGAUAACCCGUCGAAAGGCGGCCUAACACGAUAUGCGGUUCACAGCAGGCAUCUAACGUGAACGAAAUGUAAAGGAGAAGGAUGGGGAUGCGUCUGAUUAGCUUGUUGGCGGGGUAACGGCCACCAAGGCGACGAUCAGUAGGGGUUCUGAGAGGAAGGUCCCCCACAUUGGAACUGAGACACGGUCCAAAACUCCUACGGGAGGCA